AUUAAAUUGUAAGAAGGGCUGCUUGUAAGAGCAUACAGUACAUCUGAAACUGCUGAGGCUGGGAAGGUUUUUGACUAUAUUUCCGACCAGAUCAGCUGCUAUAGAAGACAAACUGAAAUCUGAGUGCAGAGACAAGCAAAGGAAUACUGCAAGGCACUUGUGCAAAAUAUUGUAUGCCAGGACGACUAGGCUGUGCC